GUGCCAGCCGCCGCGGUAAUACGUAGGUGGCAAGCGUUGUCCGGAUUUAUUGGGUUUAAAGGGUGCGUAGGCGGUCCUUUAAGUCAGUGCUGAAAUACUCCAGCUUAACUGGAGGGGUGGCAUUGAUACUGGGGGACUUGAAUGAAGUCGAGGUAGGCGGAAUUGACGGUGUAGCGGUGAAAUGCUUAGAUAUCGUCAAGAACACCGAUAGUGAAGACAGCUUACUAGGCUUAUAUUGACGCUGAGGCACGAAAGUGUGGGGAUCAAACAGGAUUAGAAACCCUCGUAGUCC
rnacentral:rRNA from 1 species